GGAAAAGGAAAAGAAGUUUUGUUGGGUUAGCUAGAGGAAAGCGUCUCUUCCUAAACACAGGGGAGGAAUGGUUUCAGGGAUUUCGAGAAAUUCAACCAAGCUAGUCUUUCUAAGCAGAGUUGGCGGCUUCUUACUAAUCCAGGGAGUGCUUGGGCUCGUGUGAUGAAGAGGAUUUAUUUUUCCCAUUUGUCAUUCUGGCAAUCUCCAAAAACGAGUCAUAGUUCGUGGUUAUGGCAGAGUUCGUUAGCGAGAAAAGAUGUGAUUAAGGAAGAACUCUUUAUAAUAUAAGUGAUGGAAGAAAUGUGCUUGCUUGGGAAGGCCCCUAGGCCCUAGCUGAAGUCAUCCCCCUCUUUUAAAGUGAAACGCCCACCAAGUUGCCCCAAUAACAUCAAUUGGGUAGCUGAUCGAAUAGAUCAUAACAAGCUAGAAUAGAAAAGAAGGUUGGUAUAUCAGCUUUUGAAUUAGAUUGAUGCAAAAAGUAUUCUUAAUUUGCCUGUUGCUCCUCAAGGGUUCGAGGAUUAGCUUGUUUGGCUUUAUAAAAAAACUGGUCAAUAUACUAUAAGAUCAAGUUACAGAUGGUUGGCAAAAAGUAGCUAUGAUGCUAUUGUGAAUAGGCCUAUGCAGUCCUCUUAAAUCCCAGCAAAGGAGUGGAACUAUCUUUGGAAUUUUUCUUCCAUACCGAAGAUAAAAAUCUUAAUGUGGAAAGCUUUUCAAAAUGCUAUUCCUUGCAAAGAAAAUUUAGCCAAAAAGGGUCUCAAUGUGGACUCCAAUUGCCUUAUAGGUGCUCAGGAAAUUGAGACAACAGAGCAUUAUAUUUUCUGGUGUCCCUUUGCUAGAGCAACCUGGUUCAUCAGUCCCUGUGCUUAUAAGCCGAGUCAGGUGGGGUUUUCUUCCAUUGCUAAUUGGUGGAUUGCUUUGUGUCAGGAAGUAGAGGAAGGUCGUAUGAGUCUGGAUGUCCUUGAACUAGGUUCUAUUACUUGCUGGAACAUUUGGAAAGCUCGAAAUAGAGUCAUUUUUUUAUCAAUGUUUCUAAUACAGUGGUUAUUGCCCGUCACAUUAUAUCAGGAGUGGAAGAGAUUGCUGUGCUGAGUCUAGAUCGAAAUCAACAAGUUGUUGAGUGCAGCCUGUCUUAUCGAGUGUUAGAUGGAAAAGGCCUCCUGUUGGUUUUAUGAAGUUCAAUUCGGAUGUUGCUUGGAAGGAAGGAAAUUAUUUUGCUGUGAUUGCGGUUGCUGCUAAAAUUAUGCAGGUGUAGUCCUUAAUAGGAUUACAAAAAGAAUUGAGUGUUCUUCAGUAUUAUCAGGGGAGGCUCAAACUAUGUUUCUAUCGUUUCACUUGACAAAAAGAAUGGACUGUGGAUUAUGGAAUUAAAUUCUGCCAAUCUUAUUGCUACUAUAACAAAUUUCCCGUCCAUUAUGUGUCAGGAAAUCUAGGCCUCUGUUAUUGCUAUUCAUCAUUUUACUUCUUAUUUUCAUCAUGUUGAAUUUUCACAUGUUAAAAGGAAAGCCAAUGUAGCUGCUCGCGUUGUUCCGAAGCUUAGUUUUAG
rnacentral:misc_RNA from 1 species